CCUGUGUAUACCUGCCUUAAGGGCGGGGAUUCUGCCUCUGGCACUUAGUGCAGUACGAUGCACGUAGUGAGAGACCAGGAAAUUCAGCAACAGAAUCACUGACAGAACAGGUCUAGAAGGAGAUCAUCACAAACUAAACAGGACCCCAAUGGCCAUGAACAGCAGAACCCGCUUAACUGCUGCCUGAAACGUAUUCAAAGAGAUGAAAGUACAGAAGAGUUCUAGCCUAAAGCCCAACAGCAACCGUGGAGAGUCCAGGAACCAACUCAUCAGCCCUGUCAGAGCUCAUCAAAGAUGAGAUGUCUUCCAAUUGUGAAAUCAGCUCAGCACAGAAGAGAUGAGCGUGUGUACUACUUUCCAAAAGAGGAAGUGGAUUCAGAAAACUACUUAUUUUGAUGGACCCUGUACUCCAUGGAUCAGCUGGCACCACCCAGAUCGAUAAACUGGCUCAUCUGGUCUUGUGGCCCCCAACCAGGAAGUGCUCAGUGCAAGAGGACAGCUUCAACUCCCUUUGAUUUCCUCUCCAACCCAAACAAUCAGCACUCCCAACUCACUGGCCCCUACCCACCAAAUUAUACUUAAAAAUUCCAAUUCCCAAAUUCUCAGGAAGACCGAUUUGAGUAAUAAUAAAAUUUCAUACAGCCAGCUCUGCAUGAAUUGAAAUCUUUCUCUAAUGCAAUUCUCCUGUCUUAAUAAAUCAGCUCUGUCUAGGCAGAGGGUAAGGAGAACCCAUGGGGCAGUUACAUUAUUACAUUGGAUUCUCAUAGCAAUCAAUGCUAUGCAGAUCUCUCAGAUGAGUUAGGUGAGUUAUAGGUUGGUUCAAGUCACUACCUGAUAUGGUUUGGCUGUGUCCCCACCCAAAUCUCAUCUUUUUUUUCUUCUUUUUGAGAGAUAAAGUCUCACUCUGUUGCCCACGCUGGAGUGCAGUGGCACAAUGUCUACUCCCUGCAACCUCUGCCUACCAGGUUCAAACGAUU
rnacentral:lncRNA from 10 species